ACUCACGGUGCUCCCGGGCCGCCCGCGGCUCUGCACAGCCGGCCUCGCAGGGCUUGGGCUCUGCAAGGAGAAGGACAGCAACCAUGGUUUCUUGCAGGCUCUGGCGCAGACUCUGCGAUCCUCAGCCCCGACGCCCGUGUAAUGUACUCGCUCAGCUCUGCAAAGCCCCCAGCAAACCGGACUAAAAACCAUCAGCACACAAAUCGGAGCUGCCUUCCAGGACCAGAAUUUGUCACAGUACACUCAUCAUCCUUGCAUUAAGCACGAGGAAGGCUGGGAGUAUCCCGUGUACCUUUUAAAGGCCAUUAUGGGAACAUUCUUCAAACUCAAGGCCAGCAGAGAAGUAAGUGGAUUUUGGACAAAGCAUUUUCUGCCCUCCUGAAAAGAGCAGCAGGAAACAAACUCCAGUGGUCAAAAUUGGAUCAUAAAGAUGAAAAACCCAUAUGUGUUUCUGGUCUUUAAAUUGCUACUUUACAGAGUGAUAAGAGACAUCAUAUAGAACCUUAUCAGGAUUUAAUUUCCUAACAGAAAUGAGGAAGGAAUGUGCAAAGCCCCUCUUACAUGAUCCAGCAUUAGAUUGCAGUACAUGAUAAAAAUAUCUUAACAGGCGUAUACCUAAGGAAGAUAACAUUCCAUCUCCUCUUCCUGAAGAUGCUUUCUAAAUACAACUCUUUUAAAAAACAGCAUAUUUCUGGUUUGCUGUGCAUGACUGUCUUCUUCAGGAAAUGUUUUCUGGCAAAAAGCUCCUGACAGUUGCUGCAUCUCUUUAGUGCUUCUGUAAUAAUACCUUGUAAAACGCUCUUGGUAGAUGAGGUUUAUGAAUGAAACCUGUCAGAGUGUACGUACUACAAAAACAACUGCUAAAUUUCUUUGAAAUUUAUUCCUUGGCUGUAGUCUAACUGUGUCAUAAAGGUUCUGUACUAAAGCCACCACCACUGUGUGAAAAACCUGGUUUAUGUGUAUUUGGAUUUUGCACGUACAUCUUUGCCAUGUCAUUCUGCGUCCCCUUACUGACUCCUGUAUCCUAAAUAUAUUUACUAAAUCCCCCACACUCCAUUCUAUUUCUAGUCUCUGCCAACUACAAUGUUAUUUCCAGACAAACUCAAAUUUCCAAAGAGUUCACUGUCAGCAGCGUUGCCCUUUUGAUCAAGGAAAUGAGUACAUUUUAACACAAAAAUUUGGUACUUUUCACAUGGUGAUAGAUUUCCUGCAGGGAAGCUAUAAAGAGCAUUUACAAACAGCACAGGCAUGUUCAGCAUCCCUGGAGAGCCUCUGGGAGCAGGGAGCCAAGCAGAGCUCUGGAUUUGGGGGCACUUGCUCUGCUGGGAAAUGGGGAGCAAUUGAAGUCGAGUUGCCACAGGAAAUGUGGGCUCCCCUCCACUCAGCUUCAUCUUCUUUGCAGUUUCUCCUCCUUGUGUUUCUAUUCUAACCUAAAAUACCUGUCCCCACAGUCAGAACAGGGGGAUUUGUUUAUUGUGGCUGUGCUGUACCACAGCAUGUGCUGCUCUCAUUCUACAGCGCUACGAGUGCCAUCAAAAGGAGCAGGCUUCCAUGGCCAUCUUAGGUUUUUAUUAGAUAAAUUUUAAAAGGCUAAUUAUUGAUAAAACACACUAACAUAUGUACCCGUGAACAGAGUAAUACUGCAGCCAUCCUACCUUGUUUUAACAAUUUCUGAGCCCUAUCCCCAGUGCUUUUUAUUUUUUUUAAAAAAAAAGCUCCCAGAAAGCAUCUAUAGUAUAUAUUUAUGACACUGCUUCCUAGAAACAUCUCUGAGAAGGGUUUGGCUCUUUCUUCCUCACUCUCCACAUCUACUGGGAUGAUGAAGCAGAUAGGAUUUCCCACACUUAUCUCCGGUAUGUCUCCUGCGUCAGGCUGUUCUGUGACUCUGCAAAGCACACUGCACAUCCUGGUGCCGUGCCAGCUCUCCCUGGGAAGCCAGACUUCCAACCAAAACCACCCCACCUUACACAAACACUCUGCUGACUAUACACUUAAAUCCAUUUUGGCGUGAAAAAGCUUCAGAUAAGUAAAAAAUUUCAGCAAAACCUGACCUUUUCUUGGACAUGCUUCAAGACUUACUGCAAUGUUAUGUUCCAAUUAUAGAAACACCCCAAAUGUAUAAGCAGAUAUUUAAAUUUUACAGAUACCACCCUAAGGAAAAAAAUUUAGCUAAACAUAAAUGGGGUGAUUACCUAAUGGGCACGGCAAAAUAUUAGGAAAGUGAAGUGUUUGGAUAAAACAGCAACGAUUAAUUUUUCAUUUAAUUUUUUUUUUUUCCUCAAAUAUAACAUGCUUCUGGAGAUCAUACUUAGUGAACAUACUCGUGGUUCCAGGCCCACACAGUAUUUUAAUUCCAUAAGGUGCGUGGGAGGUUUUUUAAAUCCACAUAAUUUUGUGUUAUUUUCUUUUUACAUGUUAAGUUAUUAUCAUCAGAUGGAGGGGAAAUUAAACAUUCUGAAUGUGUUAAAAGCCUUGGUCUUCUUGACUCCUAUUACCAACUGCUAGCUAUUGCUAAACUCAUCCAUUUUUGGAACAUGAACAACCUUGAUAACAUCAGAUGAAGACAAAAUAAAAAUAGAGCUUUGGCAAAUCCUGUGAGUUGGAUUCCGGUAUCUUGGAACACCGUGUGAAGCUUUUGAUUGGCUUUGCAAAUGUAACUCCCUAUAUUAAUACUGAACUUAACUCAUUUCCUAACUUUGCUAAGAGCAGCCAGAGCUAUAGUCAUGCUGGAAUAGUGAGGAACUAAAUAAAAUCCAGGCUAUGAAUAUAGCUGUGAUUUGUUUUUUCCUGGGAAAGGUUUUGAGAAAACCUUUCCAGGAAAGGUUUUGUGAAAAUUAUUACUAAAAAACUUUGUAUCUAGUUGGCCUUUCCUUUAGGGCACAUUAUGUGUGUUGUUUCCUCCUUUUUUCUGAGAGUAGAUAAAAGCCAUCUUUGUCAUCACCUUAAUUAUUUGGUUUUCAAGACAACAGAAUUAAAGAGCAUUUAUUUCUUCAUACAGUCCUUAUUUUAUAUUCCUCGUGUACAGAGCACUUGCAUUUCAUCACUACUCAGACACACUGUGAUAAAGAUGCUUAAUGAGCAGCAAGCCCAAUUUUUUGCUUGUCUGGGUGGUGUUUACAUGACAUGACCAUGCAUCUGGUGCCUCAGAAGAGGUCCCUGGAGCACAGCCCUGCCCAGCAGGGGAAAUUCCUGUGCUCACACACAUCUCUGCAGGACGUGCUGCUACAUACAAGGUGCCACCCCUGGUUUUCACAAUGCCUCCAGCAGUUUUUAGAUCAAACAUGCUCUGCACAGACAUGCAGUGGGAUGAGGGGUAGGGCUCCCAUCACUGUCACAUCACAAACACAAGCUCACAGAACGCCACAAACACAACUGGCUCAGCCCAAGCACCCUCUGCUCCAGCUGCUCCUCUCCCAUCCUCAACACCUGCACUCCUGUCUGCAACACUCUGAUGAAGCUUCUUGCCAGCCCACAAGCUCUAAAGGAUGCUCUGAUGAAGAAUGUAGAUAUUCUAUCAUCACUCCCAGGGGUGAAGAGUUGCCUGAGGUGACACAAACCAGCUGGGGAGGCUGCAGGAGGUGCCUGUGGUCCCAGCCCUUGCUGGGUGCUGGAGAAGCAGUGUCCCCAGGAGGAGUCAUGCUGGGACAGUGCCACAGGCUGCAGCCAGAGAUCAGCACAAGCAUUUCCUGCACACAGCCAGGGUCAGGUCCUGCUCCUCAAGGCCCAGCUGAACAACAGCACUCACAUGCCUGGGAUGCCCUUGGAUCCCAGCUGGCUCUUCCAUGGCUGCCAUAGCCUGACCAUGAGCCCAAAAUGACACACCUCAGCCCAAAAAACUUCCUCAGCUGCCUUUUGACAUAUAAACGUGGAAAAGUGACCAUCAGAAACACCAGUGACAGCACUGGGGAGAGGCAAAUGCAGAUUUCUAUGUAAAGAAGGGUAAUUUAUGCUGAUGUGGGUACAAUAAAAAACAA